CCAAAGUGUAGUUGUCGUAACAGUUAUUGACUUUGCUUAUUCGUCUCUGAUUCCCCAUGAAACGUCACUGGCACAGAAUGAGAGCAGUUUGUGAAGCGACUACAUAGAAUUGGCAUUCCAGACGGAGAUCUUUGGUUGGGUGAUGUAACCAUUUAUUGCCGAAUAUAAAAUAAAUUAGCAAUCCAUUUGAUUUACCGAACAAAUGUGCAGAGAGGUGUAUUACAAGCUGAUCUAGUGAGAAGGUAAGAACCAUAUGCUCUCUCCUUCAACCUCUGAACUAACACUUCCUGUUCACGUGGGUACAUGUGAGUACUCCAAUCACCAAUGGUGCUUCUCAAUAAUCUAUCCUACCUCCUGAAGUGUACACUUGUUCACUACUUCCCACAAAUGCUUAAUGUUUUUUCUUGCACGCCGCCUCUCCCUCUGCCAGCGUGUUCCACAUGACGUCAGGCUGAACAGGGAUUCAGGAAGGGGAAUGCAGCUUUUUGAUAAUGGCGUCCCUCAAGGAGGCAAGAAAGAGAUUUCUAUUCAGAAAUGUCGAGUUUUAACUAGGAGUCGUUUAAUAGGAUUUCGGAAGAGGAAUGGAGGGAAAAAGAUGAGAGGUUGAAUUUGAAUCUGAAGAUGGCGGAAAAGAAUGAGAUGGUGUGUCGAAGAAUAUUGUUGUCAAGUACAAACAGAGUGAGCCAUACGCCAUACUGAGUUCUGGCAGUGAAAUUAAUAAGGGCCAAUUAAGUGACGUGGAUGGUGUGGUGAAGUGCUCGGAGUAUGACCCUUGCGUGGAUGGACAUGAUAAAGAAGAAUCUGGUCCAGUAGGAGUACAUUUCUGGGAGAGUGGAUCCUUGCUCUUUGCCGGAUCUAGUUGUGGUUUCAGAGAGGGUGGGAAAUAAGUUAGGUGUAGUUGAAUCAGUGAAGGUAACCCGUAGUGGACUGAUAGUUUUUUGUGUUACUUCCGCCCAGAUGGACUCGGCACUCACUUAACAGGUUAAGAUCUGUUUCUUGCUUUGCUCUUAGGAGCAGGGCACCAUUGAAAUUAGUGAUUUUUGGGGUAGCGUUAAGUGUGGAGGUGGAGCAGUUGAACAUUCCUGGUGUUUGUGAUGGCCGUCGUUUGGUGCGCUGCAGACCCAGUGGGGAGCGUGGUGAAACAGCGGUGUCAGUCUGUCUUUUUGAGUCUCUACCUGAAAAAGUAAUGUUAGUGUUACAGUAUAACUUUAAACCGUCCCCUCGCCCCGACACGGGCGCGAACCAGGGACCCUCUGCACACAUCAACAACAGUCACCCACGAAGCGCCGUUACCCAUCGCUCCACAAAAGCUGCGGCCCUUGCAGAGCAAGAUGCAACACUACUUCUAGGUUUCAGAGCAAGUGACGUAACUGAUUGAAACGCUACUAGCGCGUACCCGCUAACUAGCUAGCCAUUUCACAUCCGUUACAUUAGGAUAUAUCAGUUAUCCUGUUAGAGCUGUUGUGUAGAACCCACUGUGAUGUUUCAGGUGCCAUGUUUAUUGUCGCAGCAGUUUGUAGGAGGGAGAUUCCAAGAUGUGGGAAGUGUGCUGGAGGGCAUAGGACAGAGGAUUAUGUAGUUUAAGUGGAUAAAGUUGUGUGUGUCAACUGCAGGGGUUCCCAUGUUGCAGGGGAUUGGAAGUGUCCCGUGCGAGUGAGGCAGGUUGAGGUGGUCAGAACAGUGCAGAAAGUGUUGUAUGCUGAGGCAGUGAAGAAAGUAGAGGAGGAUGGUUUAAGGGUGAGGGAUCCCUGUGAGUAGUAGAUGUGUGCCAGCACAUAGGGAUAGGCCAAUGAGUGAUCUAUGCUUUAGUAAGGUUGGCUUCUUAGCAUUCAUAGCAAUAGUUAUUAACUGUACUGCAGAAUGAAAUUAAAAUGACAGAAAAUGGAAUGGGGUAGUUGGUUUUUAAUGAGUUGGAAGGUUUUUUUAUUUUUAUUACAUUUUUCCUUUUCCCAUUUUGUAUCAGAAGGUAUAAUGGAUUUAUACUAUAGUCCAGUUGGGGGUGGUAAUGCAACAUAUUUUGGUAUUUUAUUAGGAUCCCCAUUAGCUGUUGCGAAAGCCACAGCUACUCGUCCUGGGGUCCACACAGAACAUGAAACAUUACAUAAUACAGAAAAUUAAUAGACAAGAACAGUUCAAAGAUAGAACUACAUACAUUUAAAAGUAGCACGCAUAACCUACACGUCAAUACAUACAAACAAAAUAUCUAGGUUAAAUAGGGGAGAAGCGUGAAGUGUUGCUUUCUGUUUUUUGAAACAAGGUUUGCUGUUCAUUUGAGAAAUAUGAGAUGGAAGGGGAUGCAAUAAUGCAAUGCAAUAAUGUCUCUAUAUAAUACUGUACGCUUUCUUGAAUUUGUUCUGGAUUUGGGGACUAUGAAAAGACCCCUGAUGGCAUCUCUGCUCUGGUACGUAUGUGUGUCAGAGCUAGGGUUGGAAACUUUCCGGGAAAUUUUCCAUGGGAAGUUAAGCCUGGGAAUUUUGCUUGAAUUCAUCAAAAAGGUUAUCUUAUAACGGGUAACUUUUUUUGUGGGAUACACAUAAGGCAAUUCUAGGUCUUGUGGCAUAUUUUGGUUAAACUAUCCCCAAUUCAAUGGAAUUGUAACCCUCUGCAUGCACAGUGCAUUCUUUCAUCACAUGUACAGCUUAUUCUCAAGAUCUUGCACACUAAUGAGACGCUAUUGAGUCCACACUGCUACUGUCUGAGCCAAGGACUACAUGCUUUCUGGAAAAUGCCACGGGCACUAUCUAAUGUGUGGCGACAUUUCACUGCAGCUAAUGUAGGAAAAGCUGUGUAUGUACAUUUGCAAAUACUGUGGCAAAUCAUAUGUGAAGAAUGCAACAAAGAUGCAAAAUCAUCUGGCCAAGUGCAUAAAGUUCCCUCAGCGCUCACAACAAGCAACCUCUGACAAAAGUCCCUCUACUUCUUUUCAAGGUGAAAAUGAUGAAUCAGACAUCUUAUCGGAAGCAACAUCUCAUGUUCCUCCUGGAAUCUGAAGUGUUUUUGACUCAAUGGAGGAACGUAGUCAGAGAAAUGCUGAUGAAUGUCUUGCUCGAGCUGUGUAUGCAACUGGUUCACCUUUGAUGCUCACAGGCAAUGUGUAUUGGAAGAGAUUUCUGAAUGUUGUUCUCCCUGCAUACACCCCUCCAACCAGACAUGCUUUAUCGACUCAUUUGCUGGAUGCAGAGUUCAAGGGAAGGUCAAGCAAAUCAUAGAAAAAGCAGACUGGAUUGCAAUCAUCUCUGAUGGGUGGUCAAAUGUUCGUGGGCAAGGAAUAAUUAACUACAUAAUCUUCACCCCUCAACCAGUAUUCUACUAGCGCACAGACACAAGGGUCAACAGACACACUGGUCUCUACAUUGCAGAUGAGCUGAAGGCAGUCAUCAAUGACUUGGACCACAGAAGGUAUUUGCACUGGUGACAGACAAUGCUGCGAACAUGAAGGCUGCUUGGUCUAAAGUGGAGGAGUCCUACCCUCACAUCACACCCAUUGGCUGUGCUGCUCAUGCACUGAAUCUGCUCAUCAAGGACAUCAUACAAGAGAGCCAAGGAAAUGGUUAGGUAUGUGAACGGUCAUCAAGUUAUAGCAGCAAUCUACCUCACCAAGCAAAGUGAGAAGUAUAAGAGCACCACAUUGAAGCUGUCCGGCAACACCCAUCGGGGUGGUGUUGUUCCUGGAGGGGAAGGAGUCUCUCCCAAAUAUGGCCAUAUCACAGUCUGCCGAUAUGGACAGCCUCAUCAAGAGGAUACUCCUGGAUGUAUUUUGGGAGAGAGUGGUAAGCAGUCUGAAACUCAUGAAACCUUAGCCAUUGCACAGAUUUAGGGAGACAAUGCCAUCCUGUCUGACGUUCAGACUCUGCUUGCAGAUGUAAGGGAAUAAAUCUGUACUACCCUGCCCACUUCACUGUUGCUCCAAGCAGUGGAAACUGCAGUUCUGAAAUGCAUCAAAAAGCGUGAAGACUUCUGCCUGAAGCCCAUACACGCUGCAGCGUACAUGUUGGACCCCACGUAUGCUGGCAAGAGCAUCCUGUCUAGUGCAGAGAUCAACAAGGCCUAUGGUGUCAUCACUACCGUGUCUCGCCACCUUGGCCUGGAUGAGGGCAAGGUUCUUGGCAGUCUGGUGAAGUACACUUCCAAGCAAGGGAUUUGGGAUGGAGAUGCAAUAUGGCAGUCGUGCCAACAUAUCUCAUCAGCCACCUACUGGAAGGGACUGAGGCUCUUUCCCCUGUUGCCUCCAUCAUCCUCCAAAUCCUACCAACAUCAGCCGCCUCAGAGCGCAACUGGUCCUUUUUGGGAACACACACACCAAAGCACGCAACAGGCUGACCAAUACAAGGGUUGAAAAAUCUGUGGCCAUCCGGGCAAAUUUGAGGCUUUUUGAGCCUGACAACAAGCCAUCCUCAACAAGGUUGGAAAGUGACAGUGAAGAUGAGGCCUCAAAGUCUGAUGUUCUAGAGGUGGACAUUGAGGAGGUCCAGGGAGAAGACAUGGAAGCCUGAGAGGAAGACAACCAAAGCUUUAGUUUCUAGACUAUCAUUUUACAGAUGCAUGUUAAAUGUUUUUGCGAGAUGUGAUGGAUCAUUGGGAUCAUUCAAUGUUCCCUUUUGAUGUUCAGUGAAAUCCCAUGUUAAGAGUCAACUAAUUUAAAGUUCAAUUCGUAACUAAAUAGUUAUUUUUUUCUAUUGGAAGGAUUUAAUCAUUUGCAAUUAUGUUUUACUUGUGAUAAGGUAAAAGGUUUAUGUUUCUGUCUCUAUGAUAUGGUAAAUAUAUCCAAUGCAAGAAACAUCGACAUUUUAACUGGCAUAAAUAUUCAUUUACAUAUAUUUCCUUUAAUUCCCCUCUUUUCCUGUUAAUUCACACAAAAGUUUCAACCUCUGAAUAUUCCCCAAAAUGUGAAUCCCUAGUCAGAGUUGUGCUUAAGUUGAAUAUUGCAAACAAUUUUGAAUUUUCAUCACAUUAAGGUUUCUUAUAAAAAGAAGAGAUGCAGUCAGUCUCUCAACUCUUAGCCAGAGAGACUGGGAUGCAUAGUAUUUAUAUUAGCCCUCUGAUUACAAUGAAGAGCAAGAUGUGCUGCUCUGUUCUGGGCCAGCUGCAGCUUAACUAGGUCUUUCUUAGCAGCACUUGACCACAUGGCUGGACAAUAAUAAAGAUAAGACAAAUCUA